UCCCAGGUGGCUCAGAUGGUAAAGAAUCUGCCUGCAAUGUGGGAGACCUAGGUUCGAUUCCUGGGUUGGGAA
rnacentral:tRNA from 1 species